rnacentral:rRNA from 1 species
GAUCCUGGCUCAGAUUGAACGCUGGCGGCAUGCUUUACACAUGCAAGUCGAACGGUAACAGGCCUUCGGGCGCUGACGAGUGGCGAACGGGUGAGUAAUGCAUCGGAACGUGCCCAGUAGCGGGGAUAACUACUCGAAAGAGUAGCUAAUACCGCAUACGCCCGUACGGGGAAGGGGGGAUCGCAAGACCUCUCACUAUUGGAGCGGCCGAUAUCGGAUUAGGUAGUUGGUAGGGUAAAGGCCUACCAAGCCAACGAUCUGUAGCUGGUCUGAGAGGACGACCAGCCACACUGGAACUGAGACACGGUCCAGACUCCUACGGGAGGCAGCAGUGGGGAAUUUUGGACAAUGGGCGAAAGCCUGAUCCAGCCAUUCCGCGUGCAGGAUGAAGGCCCUCGGGUUGUAAACUGCUUUUGUACAGAACGAAAAGGUUUCUAUUAAUACUAGGAGCUCAUGACGGUACUGUAAGAAUAAGCACCGGCUAACUCCGUG